rnacentral:sRNA from 1 species
UGAAGAGGAAAAGUGGGUUGAAGUUGCCUCAAUGAAAGUGCCUAGAGCAGGCAUGUGUGUUGUGGCAGUCAAUGGUCUUCUGUAUGUUUCUGGAGGUCGAUCUUCCAGCCAUGAUUUUUUGGCUCCAGGUACCUUGGACUCAGUUGAAGUUUAUAACCCUCAUUCAGAUACAUGGACAGAAAUUGGUAACAUGAUCACCAGUCGUUGUGAAGGGGGCGUUGCUGUGCUAUGAAAUAUAAAGCAUAACAGAGCACAAGGAACAUUUUGAAAAUGCAGGACCUGACCUUUUGCAAAGCAAACAUAGAUUUGGUGAUAAGACCCUCUGAUUCUAUGAGUUUUCCAUGUAUUUGGUAGAUAAAUGACUAACGAGGCUGGGCGCAGUGGCCUCAUGCCUAUAAUCCCAGCACUUUGGAAGGCUGAGGCAGAAGGAUCACUUGAGCCCAGGAAUUUGAGGUUGUAGUGAGCUGAGAUCAUACCACUGUGUUCUAGCCUGGGCCAUAGAGCAAGACUUUGUCUCAAAAAAAAAUAAAACAAAAAAUAUUUGGUUUAGUCUACAACUAUACCUUCCUUAUAACUUAACCAUAUGCAUUUAUUAGGAAAAGUUUAUGUAAUGCAGACAGGAAGCUCUAUGUUCCCUUCUCUGGGGCAUCCUGAACGUCUGAAGGGUCACAGAUGUCUGUGUAGAGAUCUGUAAGAUGUCAAAGAAUAAAGAUAAUUUAUAGACUAA